GAUGACACAAGGGUCAUUUGCUGGGAUUAAUGUCCCAGAAACCCGGCCCCUACAACCUUGGUAUCAGAGCCAGGCUGACCAUUGGCUAAUCCUAUCUUAGUCUGGUAGCUAUCCCUAGAUUUACACACUAUCCACAUCCUUCAGUGUCCAUAGUCGCCACUCUUGUCCUAUCUGACAGCAUGUAGGGGCCAGCCGACACUGUUUAGCAGUCGGUGCCCAACCUAUCACCCUAACCGAUAAUCAUCGUAAUUUUGCUUCCAUGGUUUAUAAUCGAUUUUUUCACCCUUAACAAAUCUCGGGUUGAGAUUUUAUUGAGGACCACCGUGACAAAUAAUUUUCCUAACACAUAGUUGAUUCACGCACCUCCGCGACACCUAGCUUACAGCCACACUCACUUCACCACAUGCACUAAGUGCAGAGACCACACACCCUUGGCACCUAAUCAUGCAUCUCAUUCCCCAGAUCACUAACACCGCGCCACAGUUUUUCCACGGAAAAAAAACUUGUGGGUUUUAUUUUUUCAAAACCUACCGCCACACAUGCUAACAACCACUCGCACCUGACACCGAUCGCUAAUCCUCAUAUCCACCACCGCUACGGAGAGCCACCACUCGAGCAACAGCCUCACGACGAUCAUCUACAUUCAUCGCACACAGGAGUAGCGAGAAGCCAACUAACGCCGCCAGCAUUCCAACCAGGAGAAUCGUGACCAGAUCCGGAGCCACAUCCUCCAUUAGCCCUCGUCUCGAGCUCCUGCAACCAGAAGAAGAAGGAGGAAGAAGAGGAAGAGGAAGUGAGGCAAAGUGUGAGGAAGAGAAGAGAGAGAUCACAGUCAUUUUUAUAGCUCGAGCUCGGUGCAUGGUGAGCAAAGUCCACCAGCUCCACUCGUUGCUCGACCGCCGGUGUUUGGAGGUGAAUCCGCAAGCAGUGCCGACAAGGUGCUGGCCCGCGAGGUGAGUGCACGCUGCGCCGGCAACAAGCACGCCGCACACUACCACAAUACGCCCCUAGAUGCCCUGUGCGCUAGGCGCCGUAGACGGAGAAAGUACGUGAAAACUCACGCGAGAGAGAAGAAAGAGGAGAGCCGAAGGAAGAAGAAGGGGCUGACAGUGGGCCCUAGGUCCACCUGUCAGUAGGAGAGAGCGUUGUGCACUCGAGUACGGCAAGAAAAUUUUGGAAUUUGAAAUUAUACUUUUUCCAAUUUGUCGUAGAUCUAAAUAUCAAGUCCUCAAUUGCCCUAGUUGUAGAGUUAAAUCCACAGCACCAGUACCUCACUGUAGCUGCACCAAUUAUCAGUACCCUCACUAUAACUACGGUUAAAUCAUGUGAGCUAAAAUAUGUAGCAUCCCCUCGGAGUGACAGACGUAAUUCUGAUGACCACCCUAUCAAAUCUCGAGGACGAGAUUUUCCUUAAGGGGGAUAGCGUUUGUAACACCCCAAAUUUAACCAUAAAUUUUAUUAAGUAAAAUUUGGCUAGAAAUAAAUUUUAGAAUUAUACUAGGUCAUUUAUUAAUUUGAGAGCCUUCUCUGUUCUCUGCUUUCCAAAAUUCUUCCCUCCAUUUAGGUUCUUCUUUUUAGUAUUGUGGGGUGUGGUUGUUUUCUUAAAUAUUUUCUUUUCUGUAUUAAAUAACAAUAGGAAAUAUUUUCAGGAUAAAAUUUGCCAACAAAUAGCAUUUUAAACGCUUGAACUUUUCUAUUGCACUAAAACUAUCUCAAAUUUAUUUUUAAAAAUUCCCUCAAGCACCCCCUGCCCUAUGACACUACCCAAUGCAAUUUAUUCCACCAAAAUUUUCUUUUACUAAUAUAAAUAUUUCCAAAACUAACUAACACCACUUCUUAGCAUCCUUUGAGUUUACAAAGGGACUCCUUUCUCCCUAAACUUUCUCACCUCACCAAAAUUUCCACAGCAAGACCUUAGUACAUACAUUCAAUUCCUCCAAGAUUAUUUAGGUCCAUAGUUCAAAUAAUUCAAAUUUCAUUUGAAUGAAAUUUGGACCAGAUUUGGAAUCCUUGCUCAAAACCAUAUCUUCCCUACUCCAAAAAUUCUGAAAUUUUUACACCAACUCAGAGUUGCAUCAGAGAGACCCCACAACAAAUUUAAUAUUUAAAAAAAUGCCUAGCUAGCAUUGGCAUUUCGUCGAACAACUUUUGUGCAUACUGUAGCACUGUCAAAAAAGUUCAGUAAAAUUCAGAAACGGACAAUGGGAGAGGGAAGCGGCGUCGUGCACUGCACUCCAUCACCUCUCCUCCUCAUUCACGCCUCCAUCCAUCAUUAAUGGGUCUCCUGGGUCCCUCUGGUCGGCCGCUCGCCAACGACAGCACAGUGGUUGGCCGGUGCACCUGCCACCGCCCUCGGCAGCGGCGGACGAAUGGAUCAGCUUGGCCGACCAGCGCCUUCACUCCCCAAUUGCUCCCAUGCCUACCUCCUCUCCAUGCGUCGUCUCUUCUACGGCGUUCACGCACCGUCUGAACUGCACCGCGCCCGCUUGGCAGUCGCCGGAGACUGACACCGCCACCACACCCUUACAUGAGCCGCGCCGUGGAUAAGGCCGCAAAGCUCAAACCUCGUCGGUCUGGCACUUCGAGAAAGCUCCACCGAGCUCUCUGAUCGGACACCGGCCGCGCCCGCCGCCCAAACCAACCCCACCGACCGGAAUUACUCCGUUGUGAUCCACUCCGCUCCGACCACCCCCACCUGCCUAUAUAAAGGCCACCCCGGGCCUCGUUUCGAAUUCACCCCACCUCCACCCAUGCACAAUCAUGCUUUAGAGGGAUCUAACGGCCCCGGGGAGGUUUUCUUCCACAACUCCGGCCGCCCGAUCCGCCUCUGCUUCUGAGAAGAAGCCGACGUAGUCCGUCCACCCCCACCUCCCAGAAUUCACCAGUAGCCUCCUAAUCGACUCCCUCGUCUGUCUCGCACGUCAAUUUGACGAUUUGAGGUUCCUCCGACGAGAUCCAACAUCACCCGAAGCCGCCGCCCGCGGUAGUCGACAUCGCCGGCACUAUGAUGCUCGCCAGCAAGCAAAUCCACCACCCACCGGCCACCGACGCGGAAGAACACCCUGAGGACGUCUGCACCAUCGCCAUCCCUUGCUACACCGUGAUCGCCGCCAGUAACCUCCCCUUCCUUCUCUAUUUCGGUGCAAAGCACGCCCAAGUUCAAACCUGAUGGGUGGGACCCACCCGUCAGACUUCUCUUCUUUUCUAUUUAGUACGAACGCAUAUUUUCAGAGAAUAUGCUUUCUCUAUAGGUAAAGCGUAUUUCCAGCCGGCCGUUUUCUUUUUAUGUUUUAUUUAGAAAAUGCUUUCUCUAUAGGUAAAGCGUAUUUCCAGCCGGCCGUUUUCUUUUUAUGUUUUAUUUAAAAACAUAUUGACCACGACUUUGACUGACUCUAGUUUUUAAACCAUAACUCUAAAUGACUUGAUUCUUUUUCUGACAUCCCUCAUUUUUCGUCUAGUUUGUUUUAGUAUUUAUUUCAAAAAUUUAUGAAACACUUUUUGGUACUGUUUUGGAAUUAUGUGGUAAUUGCAAUAUUUUUGAAAAUAGGUAAAUGGAGGGAAGAUAAAUUUGGCAAAGUAUUGAAGUGCACCCAAUCUUUCUGCAUGCUCAAGGCAAGCAUCUUGAGCACAUGAUAUGGUGAAUGCAUAGUUGUUUGUUUGCAUGUAGAAUUGAAUUAUGAAUAUAUUGAACUCAUAUGAAGUUUGCAUAGUAUUGGUCAUACAUGCAUGAUCCCCCUUGAUGGUAUUUUAUCCUCCUGACAUACAAGUGAGUAGGGUUAUUUUCAUGUACCAUAUGUGCCUGUGUUGGUCCAGGCUAAUUUGCAGGAAGAAUCAGUCACGAGAAAAGUAACCGUGAGACUGAAACCUCGUUGUGACGAGAAUGAUCAGUGAGGGUAUGUUGGGACAUACCGGGUGGUGACCCUGUUGGGUACUGCCAAGGAGUUAUAUUGUGCUAACCGCAGCAGGAAAACUUAAACCUCCUGAGUUGACCAUAGAUCGAGUCUUGUUCCAGUAACCCCCAUACUUGUUUGGUGCUACCACUUGUCCCUGCCACAGGCAGGGUAUGGUUCAGUAAGUUGUUAACCCCUUUCCGUGCACACACUGCAUAGAGAGGCCAUGGUGAAAGAUACCAUGGGCCUCUAGUAGGCAUGUCAUCUGGUCAGGCGGCAUGGGUGUAUACGGUUGGGCCGAGAGGGGGGGCACCCCUUGGAAUCCGCGCGUUAUGGAAUAGUGAUCCCAUGCUAUUCGAGACGAUGGUCUCCCCGUCUUAAGAGUUUUUCUUGAAAGAUGCUUUGGGUGAUUCCUGGCAUCCGAAGAGUUAAUCUGGUGUGUGUUGGUCAGGUGUGUUUUCAACCCAAAGGCCAUAACGGGAAUUAGUCAACGUCUCAGUGUUGGCUAAAGAAAUCCUAUACACGUGGGUAAAGAGUGCACCCUCUACAGAGUUAUAUCUAUUCGAAUAGCCAUGUCCAUGGUUAAGGACUACAGUCUGGGUUGGUCAAGUGUCGGUCUUAGUGUCAGUCUCCGGAGGAAAUAAUUAAAUUGAUCAUGGUCCAUUUUGCAGGAUAAUUAUUGUCACUUCUGGUGUCAUUACAAAUAUUAUUGUUGACAUGAAUAUUGUUGAGGUUUAACCUUUUCCUCUUAUGUGAAAUCUUGAGUAUCUCUUGGGGUGGCUAGACUACCUGAAAUACUCAAGUUUAUUUCUAUUUCUGAGUAUCACUUGAGAUGACUAGUCUACAUGGAUACUCGUGUUAUUAAUGUUUUAUAAGCCCUUUAUGAGGCGUCGCUCAGACACCCGACUGUGGCAUGUAUUUUUAAGACCUCUCGAAGCGUCGCUUUUAGACACAUGUUUGGCAUUUCUUUUGGAAUUUCUCGGGCGGUCCAACGCCCGACGUUCCGUUUCAUUUCUUUGAUUUACUAAUAACAUGAUUUAUUUAUGCUUCCGCACCGUAUGAGUAUUUAUCGUGCCAUGUUUUGAUUUUCAAUCAGCACAUGCAUAUAAUUUACUUUCACAUGAACAUAUACAUUCGGUAUAUCUUUUGUUCAUCAUGUUUGCGAGUACAUUCAAAGGUACUCACUGGCUUGUCCCUGGCUAUUAUCUUGGCUAGAUCAUGGUUCAGAGAGGAGCACUACGACGACACCCCGCAACCUAGGAUUCGAGGAUAGCAGCCACGCGAGAUAGGAAUUAUCUGGCUCAGUUGUUCCCGUGGGAAUGGAGUCCCAUCAACGUUGGAGAUUCACGAGUCACUUCCGUCAUCCACCACUAGAGAUCCUUGCUAUAUGCAUUGGACCUUUAUGGUCUUGUACUCAAUCUGCUGUAAUUGCUUGGAAUGUUGUAUCUAGGAAGUGUCCACUAGCAAACAGUAAUCCUGGGGCUAGUGAUGACACAAAGGUCAUUUGCUGGGAUUAAUAUCCCGAAAACCCGACCCCUACAAGAAGCGUUUACGGAGGCAGCCCAUUAAGGCAUACACACACCAAAACUCCAAACACGCGUAACGUUUUGGGUUUACACUGUAAACAGCUUACGGGGAUUUUUUUUUUUCCGAAACAAACACCUCCUAGCCUCAAUGUCUUCGGGACAUCAAUGUUAAAUCCUUCAUCAAGGAGUUGGAUGAUUUGUUCCGAAAGUCAGUACAAUGCGCUGAGUUAAAAAUCCGAUCGUUACUCACAUGUCGUGUUGGCUUUGAAUCUGUAAAAUGAAUACUCACGCCACAUCACCCCUACAUUUCUUCGGUUUCGCAACAGCACCCCUUUCUGACUAGACUUGACACCAAGAGAAAUGUAUGUAUUGUCAACUCAGGGACUAAACUGGAAACGAGUCCUGUUUUUUUUUUCUACUGCAAAGCAAAUGAGACGGAUUUCAUACGGACGUCACAAAAAGACAUCCGAGCUUGCAGGCUACGG
rnacentral:lncRNA from 1 species